rnacentral:rRNA from 1 species
UCCGUAGGCGGGCAAUUAAGUCAGAGGUGAAAUCACACAGCUCAACUGUGGAACUGCCUUUGAUACUGGUUGUCUUGAGUUACAGUGAAGUAGAUAGAAUAUGUAGUGUAGCGGUGAAAUGCAUAGAUAUUACAUAGAAUACCGAUUGCGAAGGCAGUCUACUAACUGUCGACUGACGCUAAGGGACGAAAGCGUGGGGAGCGAACAGGAUUAGAUACCCUGGUAGUCC